UACGAAGGGUGCAAGCGUUACUCGGAAUUACUGGGCGUAAAGCGUGCGUAGGUGGUUCGUUAAGUCUGAUGUGAAAGCCCUGGGCUCAACCUGGGAAUGGCAUUGGAAACUGGCGACCUAGAGUGCGGUAGAGGGUAGUGGAAUUCCCGGUGUAGCAGUGAAAUGCGUAGAGAUCGGGAGGAACAUCUGUGGCGAAGGCGACUGCCUGGACCAGCACUGACACUGAGGCACGAAAGCGUGGGGGAGCAAACAGG
rnacentral:rRNA from 1 species